rnacentral:rRNA from 1 species
UACGUAGGUCCCGAGCGUUGUCCGGAUUUAUUGGGCGUAAAGCGAGCGCAGGUGGUUUAUUAAGUCUGGUGUAAAAGGCAGUGGCUCAACCAUUGUAUGCAUUGGAAACUGGUAGACUUGAGUGCAGGAGAGGAGAGUGGAAUUCCAUGUGUAGCGGUGAAAUGCGUAGAUAUAUGGAGGAACACCGGUGGCGAAAGCGGCUCACUGGCCUGUAACUGACACUGAGGCUCGAAAGCGUAGGGAGCAAACAGG